GACGAACGCUGGCGGCGUGCUUAACACAUGCAAGUCGAGCGGUAAGGCCCUUUCGGGGGUACACGAGCGGCGAACGGGUGAGUAACACGUGGGUGACCUGCCCUCAGCUCUGGGAUAAGCCUGGGAAACUGGGUCUAAUACUGGAUAUGACUCCACGGUGCAUGUCGUGGGGUGGAAAGCCUUGUGCGGCUGAGGAUGGGCCCGCGGCCUAUCAGCUUGUUGGUGGGGNGAUGGCCUACCAAGGCGACGACGGGUAGCCGGCCUGAGAGGGCGACCGGCCACACUGGGACUGAGACACGGCCCAGACUCCUACGGGAGGCAGCAGUGGGGAAUCUUGCGCAAUGGGCGAAAGCCUGACGCAGCGACGCCGCGUGAGGGAUGACGGCCUGGUGUAAG
rnacentral:rRNA from 1 species